rfam:Ornithorhynchus anatinus chromosome 3, whole genome shotgun sequence.
CCCCUCUCAGGAUUGCAGCUGGGGAGUUUCCAGGACUCUACCAGUCUCGGCUAUGGGAGGGAGAGUCAAGCAGAGGUAUACCCAUUCUAUUCCUAGUGUGGGCAGUGGCUAGUGAGUGGAAGGCAAUAUGCUACAAGU